rnacentral:miRNA from 2 species
AUGCUUACGAGACGUGCACUC